AGAAAAAUGAAGGACAAUUUGGGUGUCUCUUGGUUGAGAAAGACAUUCGUGGUGGUAUAGUGUAUAGGCCGAACCAUCGUUUCGUUCAUCAUCUUAGUUCAUCAUCGUAUAAAUUGGCGAUUCGAUUGUUUCUCGUCCACAU